rnacentral:rRNA from 1 species
GACAGAGGGUGCAAACGUUGUUCGGAAUUACUGGGCGUAAAGCGCGUGUAGGUGGCGACGUAAGUCGGAUGUGAAAUCCCUCGGCUUAACCGAGGAAGUGCAUUCGAUACUGUGUUGCUUGAGUACUGGAGGGGUUGGCGGAAUUCCCGGUGUAGAGGUGAAAUUCGUAGAUAUCGGGAGGAACACCUGUGGCGAAGGCGGCCAACUGGACAGUCACUGACACUGAGACGCGAAAGCGUGGGUAGCAAACAGG